rnacentral:rRNA from 1 species
GCGUGUAUGAAGAAGGCCUUCGGGUUGUAAAGUACUUUCAGCGGGGAGGAAGGGAGUAAAGUUAAUACCUUUGCUCAUUGACGUUACCCGCAGAAGAAGCACCGGCUAACUCCGUGCCAGCAGCCGCGGUAAUACGGAGGGUGCAAGCGUUAAUCGGAAUUACUGGGCGUAAAGCGCACGCAGGCGGUUUGUUAAGUCAGAUGUGAAAUCCCCGGGCUCAACCUGGGAACUGCAUCUGAUACUGGCAAGCUUGAGUCUCGUAGAGGGGGGUAGAAUUCCAGGUGUAGCGGUGAAAUGCGUAGAGAUCUGGAGGAAUACCGGUGGCGAAGGCGGCCCCCUGGACGAAGACUGACGCUCAGGUGCGAAAGCGUGGGGAGCAAACAGGAUUAG